AUUGUUGAUUCUCAGGGUUAGAAUUGAAAAGUUGUGUUCAUGAUAUGUACAAAGGAUGUUUUGUAGUUGGAUGGGGCUUCUGUUGCUUGUUAAUUUUUUGAAUUCAGAAAUGGUGUACAAUGAAGUUCAAAGAGUUGUCUUGGGAAGCAUAUUUGUUGGUGUUUGAUCUGUAGCAUUUGUUGUUUGAAAACAGCUAGCUAGUAGCUGCAUCUCAGUUGGUUUUGUUGGCAGGGGAUGCUAGAAAUCAAUUGUUUUAUGAAAUUGUUUAUUUCAGGCCGCUCCAGAUUUAACUCAGGCUUUUAUUACUUAAUUCCAAGUCUGCUGUGCCCUGUCA
rnacentral:misc_RNA from 1 species